rnacentral:rRNA from 1 species
AUUGAACGCUGGCGGAAUGCUUUACACAUGCAAGUCGAGCGGCAGCACGGGGGCAACCCUGGUGGCGAGCGGCGAACGGGUGAGUAACACAUCGGAACGUACCCUGUCGUGGGGGGAUAACGAGUCGAAAGAUUCGCUAAUACCGCAUACGACCCGAGGGUGAAAGCGGGGGAUCGCAAGACCUCGCGCGACUGGAGCGGCCGAUGGCGGAUUAGCUAGUUGGUGGGGUAAAGGCCCACCAAGGCGACGAUCCGUAGCGGGUCUGAGAGGACGGCCCGCCACACUGGGACUGAGACACGGCCCAGACUCCUACGGGAGGCAGCAGUGGGGGAAUUUUGGACAAUGGGGGCAACCCUGAUCCAGCCAUUCCGCGUGAGUGAAGAAGGCCUCGGUUGUAA